GCAGCGACACUAUGUGUUGUUGGGUAGGGGAGCGUUCUGUAAGCCUGCGAAGGUGACCUGUGAGGGUUGCUGGAGGUAUCAGAAGUGCGAAUGCUGACAUAAGUAACGAUAAAGCGGGUGAAAAGCCCGCUCGCCGGAAGACCAAGGGUUCCUGUCCAACGUUAAUCGGGGCAGGGUGAGUCGACCCCUAAGGCGAGGCCGAAAGGCGUAGUCGAUGGGAAACAGGUUAAUAUUCCUGUACUUGGUGUUACUGCGAAGGGGGGACGGAGAAGGCUAUGUUAGCCGGGCGACGGUUGUCCCGGUUUAAGCAUGUAGGCUGAUUGUCCAGGCAAAUCCGGAUAAUCAAGGCUGAGGUGUGAUGACGAGGCACUACGGUGCUGAAGUAACAAAUGCCCUGCUUCCAGGAAAAGCCUCUAAGCAUCAGGUAACAUUAAAUCGUACCCCAAACCGACACAGGUGGUCAGGUAGAGAAUACCAAGGCGCUUGA
rnacentral:rRNA from 1 species